rnacentral:rRNA from 1 species
UACGAGAGGCCCAAACGUUAUUCGGAAUUACUGGGCUUAAAGAGUUCGUAGGCGGCGCAGAAAGUAGGGUGUGAAAGCCCUCGGCUUAACCGAGGAAUUGCGCUCUAAACUACUGUGCUUGAGGAACCUAGAGGUGAGCAGAACUGAUGGUGGAGCGGUGAAAUGCGUUGAUAUCAUCAGGAAUACCGGAGGCGAAGGCGGCUCACUGGGGGUUUUCUGACGCCGAGGAACGAAAGCCAGGGGAGCGAACGGG